GUGUCAGCCGCCGCGGUAAUACGUAGGUGGCAAGCGUUGUCCGGAAUUACUGGGUGUAAAGGAUGCGUAGGCGGAUAUGUAAGUCAGAUGUGAAACCCCCGGGCUUAACCCGGGGCAUGCAUUUGAGACUGCAUAUCUAGAGUGCAGGAGAGGAAAGCGGAAUUCCUAGUGUAGCGGUGAAAUGCGUAGAUAUUAGGAAGAACACCAGUGGCGAAGGCGGCUUUCUGGACUGUAACUGACGCUGAUGCAUGAAAGCGUGGGGAGCAAACAGGAUUAGAUACCCUGGUAGUCCACGCCGUAAACGAUGGGUACUAGGUGUGGGAGGUAUCGACCCCUUCCGUGCCGCAGUAAACACAAUAAGUACCCCACCUGGGGAGUACGGUCGCAAGAUUAAAACUUAAAGGAAUUGACGG
rnacentral:rRNA from 1 species